GUUGCUUGUUAUUAAACUGAUUAAGGGUUGGAUGCCCAAUAUUACCAACAUACUUGUAUUAUCAGAUAAAUAAUACCACUGGUGCCAACCUACAAUUAAAACCUAAAACUGAAAACCUUAAGCGAGAUGAAAGAAAAGCAAGGAAAUAAAACACUGCCCUGUGUGAGCCUAGAGGCCUAAAGAAAUGUAGAACUCAGGUUCUGUGGCAAGGAGUAUGCUCACCCUAUACCCAUUAAACAAUACUGCUUUUCCAACAGCCCUUUAGGGCACUGAUUCCUCUGAGCUCUGCCACACCGGCCCCAGGCUCUGGUACAGUCCACCCCGCAGGUAGAAAUCGGAACAGAGUCUUGGGAUCCCCUCUAAUUACCACGCCAGUUAUGUGACUUCCAAGGAGGUUUUGCCGCUUAUCACUGUUGAUCGCUUUGUUGCUUACCUAGAUUCAGGAGAUCACUCAGUGGGGACCGUGAUAUCCCCCACCAGUCCAAAGGGAGAUGAUGGGCUGUAAGUAUCUCGCUGUAAGAUGUGAGCCCAGAUUAAGG